GGCCGUAACUGACGCUGAGGAGCGAAAGGGUGGGGAGCAAACAGGCUUAGAUACCCUGGUAGUCCACCCCCGUAAACGUUGGGAACUAGUUGUGGGGUCCAUUCCACGGAUUCCGUGACGCAGCUAACGCAUUAAGUUCCCCGCCUGGGGAGUACGGCCGCAAGGCUAAAACUCAAAGGAAUUGACGGGGACCCGCACAAGCGGCGGAGCAUGCGGAUUAAUUCGAUGCAACGCGAAGAACCUUACCAAGGCUUGACAUAUACGAGAACGGGCCAGAAAUGGUCAACUCUUUGGACACUCGUAAACAGGUGGUGCAUGGUUGUCGUCAGCUCGUGUCGUGAGAUGUUGGGUUAAGUCCCGCAACGAGCGCAACCCUCGUUCUAUGUUGCCAGCACGUAAUGGUGGGAACUCAUGGGAUACUGCCGGGGUCAACUCGGAGGAAGGUGGGGAUGACGUCAAAUCAUCAUGCCCCUUAUGUCUUGGGCUUCACGCAUGCUACAAUGGCCGGUACAAAGGGCUGCAAUACCGUGAGGUGGAGCGAAUCCCAAAAAGCCGGUCCCAGUUCGGAUUGAGGUCUGCAACUCGACCUCAUGAAGUCGGAGUCGCUAGUAAUCGCAGAUCAGCAACGCUGCGGUGAAUACGUUCCCGGGUCUUGUACACACCGCCCGUCAAGUCAUGAAAGUCGGUAACACCUGAAGCCGGUGGCCUAACCCUUGUGGAGGA
rnacentral:rRNA from 1 species